rnacentral:ncRNA from 2 species
AACAUAAAUAGAGGUGCAAAUAAAGGGGUAGUUUUUGAAUGCUAAGGAUAGGAACAUCCAAUGUCAAAAAUGAAGGAGUUGUUUGCCGAAAGGAUAUUUUGGUUCUUAAAGAUAUUCUUGGUGAUAGAAAAUAGUAUUUCUAUCACUGUCAUGAAGUUCUUAUGGAGAGCUAUUUAUGUA